CGGAGAAAGGGUUAGAGCUGGACGCAACGACUUUUGCUGGUUGGAGUGCUUCUGAACCCCGCCCUUUCUGUCAGAGAAAGGGAUUUAUUUCAAUUCAUCGGCCUCAGAUUGGUAGGACUACCCGCUGAACUUAAGCAUAUCAAUAAGCGGAGGAAAAGAAACUAACAAGGAUUCCCCUAGUAACGGCGAGUGAAGAGGGAAGAGCCCAAGAUUGAAAGCUGGCGCCUUCGGCGUCCGCAUUGUAAUCUCAAGAAGUGUUUUCCGCUUCGGACCAUGCCUAAGUCCCUUGGAAAAGGGCAUCAUAGAGGGUGAUAAUCCCGUACAUGGCAUGGAGCGCCCGAAGCUUUGUGAUACGCUUUCUAAGAGUCGAGUUGUUUGGGAAUGCAGCUCAAAAUGGGUGGUAAAUGCCAUCUAAGGCUAAAUAUUGGGGAGAGACCGAUAGCGAACAAGUACAGUGAUGGAAAGAUGAAAAGAACUUUGAAAAGAGAGUUAAACAGUACGUGAAAUUGCCAAAAGGGAAGGGUAGGAGGUCAGAGAUGCGUCGCAGGAUUCAGCCUUGCUUUUGCUUGGUGUUUUUCCUGCGUUGCAGGCCAACGUCGGUUUUGGGCACUGGAGAAGGGUAGGAGGAACGUGGCACCUCUCGGGGUGUGUUAUAGCCUCCUACUGGAUACAGCGACCGAGACCGAGGAACGCAGCGUACUCGUAAGAGCGGGCCUUUUG
rnacentral:rRNA from 1 species